AUUUUGGACAAUGGGGGAAACCCUGAUCUAGACAUCACGCGAGUAUGAUGAAGGCNUUNNGGUUGNANAGUACUUUUGGCAGANNNNNAAAGGCAGCCCAUAAUACGGGAUGCUGCUGACGGUAUCUGCAGAAUAAGCCCCGGCUAACUACGUGCCAGCAGCCGCGGUAAUACGUAGGGUGCAAGCGUUAAUCGGAAUUACUGGGCGUUAAGCGUGUGUAGGCGGUUCGGAAAGGAAGAUGUUAAAUCCCAGGGCUCAACCUUGGAACUGCAUUUUUAACUGCCGAGCUAGAGUAUGUCAGAGGGGGGUAGAAUUCCACGUGUAGCAGUGAAAUGCGUAGAUAUGUGGAGGAAUACCGAUGGCGAAGGCAGCCCCCUGGGAUAAUACUGACGCUCAGACACGAAAGCGUGGGGAGCAAACAGG
rnacentral:rRNA from 1 species